CAUCGCCUAUCGCUCCUACCGAUUGAAUGGUCUACUGAAGUGUUCAGAUCAAGGUGGUGGCCCGUGACGUCAUGAGAAGUCCACUAAACCUUAUCAUUUAGAGGAAGGAGAAGUAGUAACAAGGUUUCUAUAGGUGAACCUGCUGAAG
rnacentral:ncRNA from 1 species